UCCCCGGAUGGUAUAAUAUUUCAGGUCGAAUUUUUAAUUGUGGAUGCGUGCACACUCUAAUGAUAUCCACGAUACAAUGCACUAUAACGAAUUAUUCGUUUGAGAACUACAAACAAACAAACUACAGACAUGGCGAAUGCGCGUGUUUAAGAUAAGUGGGUUUGAGUUGAGCACUCAACAUUUAACCUGAAAAUCAGAGUUGUUCGCAUCAAGAACUGUUUUAUCUGUCAAGAACCGCUGCACGCAGAUCAACGUGAUACCAUCUCUCCAAAAGCUCAUGGCUGUUGCUGCCCAUGCCAUCAGGUGCUAUGAAUCCUGGAGACGCACCUACAUAAAGAAGCUCAUGGCUGUUGCUGCCCAUGCCAUCAGGUGCUAUGAAUCCUGGAGACGCACCUACAUAAAGAAGACUGCGAGCACCCAAAGCAUCUGCGGUUGUGGAGAAGCCUACAGCUGCACUCAGUUGCACUUCACCACCAGCUGAGGAAACACGAAAAAG